GACGCAGUAGGAUAGGCGAAGCGUGCUGUUGGAGUGCACGUCCAAGCAGUGAGAUUGAGUGUUAGGCAAAUCCGGCACUCUUAAGAUUGAGCUGUGAUGGGGAGAGGAACUUGUUCCUCGAGUCGUUGAUUUCACACUGCCGAGAAAAGCCUCUAGCUAGAAUAACGGUGCCCGUACCGCAAACCGACACAGGUAGUCAAGAUGAGAAUUCUAAGGUGAGCGAGCGAACUCUCGUUAAGGAACUCGGCAAAAUGACCCCGUAACUUCGGGAGAAGGGGUGCUCUUUGAGGUUCACGCUUCGAAGAGCCGCAGUGAAUAGGCCCAAGCGACUGUUUAUCAAAAACACAGGUCUCUGCUAAA
rnacentral:rRNA from 1 species